GAUGAAGAACGCAGCGAAAUGCGAUACGUAAUGUGAAUUGCAGAUUUCAGUGAAUCAUCGAAUCUUUGAACGCACAUUGCGCCCGCCAGUAUUCUGGCGGGCAUGCCUGUUCGAGCGUCAUUUCAACCAUCAAGCGCCUCGCUUGUGUUGGGGCCCUGCGGCUGCCGCAGGCCCCUAAAUCCAGUGGCGGGCUCGUCGUCGUACCGAGUGCAGUAAACAUCCUCGCUCAGGGAACCCGACGGGUGCCGGCCGUGAAACCCCCCCUCCUCAAGGUUGACCUCGGAUCAGGUAGGAAUUCCCGCUGAACUUAAGCAUAUCAAUAAGCGGAGGA
rnacentral:misc_RNA from 1 species